rnacentral:rRNA from 1 species
GAUGAACGCUGGCGGCGUGCCUAAUACAUGCAAGUCGAGCGAACAGACGAGGAGCUUGCUCCUCUGACGUUAGCGGCGGACGGGUGAGUAACACGUGGAUAACCUACCUAUAAGACUGGGAUAACUUCGGGAAACCGGAGCUAAUACCGGAUAAUAUAUUGAACCGCAUUGUUCAAUAGUGAAAGACGGUUUUGCUGUCACUUAUAGAUGGAUCCGCGCCGCAUUAGCUAGUUGGUAAGGUAACGGCUUACCAAGGCAACGAUGCGUAACCGACCUGAGAGGGUGAUCGGCCACACUGGAACUGAGACACGGUCCAGACUCCGACGGGAGGCAGCAGUAGGGAAGAGGCAGCAAUGGGCGAAAGCGUGACGGAGCAACGCCGCGUGAGUGAUGAAGGUCUUCGGAUCGUAAAACUCUGUUAUUAGGGAAGAACAAAUGUGUAAGUAACUAUGCACGUCUUGACGGUACCUAAUCAGAAAGCCACGGCUAACUACGUG